UUAGGUUAGGGUGGGCAGAACCAGAGCCUCGAGCUGCACUUGAGUUUCUCACAAAAGUAGUUAAGCAGUGCCUCUCCCCGCCCGGUACCCACGCAAACAUGGUGGGAGUAUGAUUAAGAAAUACAUCUGGAACCGCGGGCUGCGGCGCCGGGAACGGAGGCAUGGGCUCCCUCUGCGGCACUGUGCGCAGCGAAUGUUUGCCUCCCAGACGGAAGGGGAACUCAAAGUGACCCAGGUUCUCAAAGAAAAGUUUCCUCGAGCCACAGCUAUUCAAGUCACAGACAUCUCAGGAGGCUGCGGGGCGAUGUAUGAAAUAGAAAUCGAAUCAGAAGAAUUUAAAGAGAAGAGGACUGUCCAGCAGCACCAGAUGGUCAAUCAGGCACUGAAAGAAGAGAUCAAGGGCAUGCACGGCCUUCGGAUAUUCACCUCUGUCCCCAAGUGCUGACAGCUGACUGC